UGUUGUAUCGAUUUUUCGCCUAUCGUUAUCAGUCUUAAGAUAUACAGCUAUAGGGACGGCUCACAUACAUAUUUGCAUAUCGUCAGCAUACAUCUGCACUUCACAAUUAGACCAGACAUUUGGAAGAUCAUUCACAUAUAUCGAAAACAGUAAUGUUCCAAGGAACGACCCUUGGGGGACACCGCGCUUAGUGAAUAGAAAGCCGGAGGUCUCAGACUCCUUUACAAAACAUUGAGAUCGGCCCAUUAGAUAUACAGCUAUAGGGACGGCUCACAUACAUAUUUGCAUAUCGUCAGCAUACAUCUGCACUUCACAAUUAGACCAGACAUUUGGAAGAUCAUUCACAUAUAUCGAAAACAGUAAUGUUCCAAGGAACGACCCUUGGGGGACACCGCGCUUAGUGAAUAGAAAGCCGGAGGUCUCAGACUCCUUUACAAAACAUUGAGAUCGGCCCAUUAGAUAUACAGCUAUAGGGACGGCUCACAUACAUAUUUGCAUAUCGUCAGCAUACAUCUGCACUUCACAAUUAGACCAGACAUUUGGAAGAUCAUUCACAUAUAUCGAAAACAGUAAUGUUCCAAGGAACGACCCUUGGGGGACACCGCGCUUAGUGAAUAGAAAGCCGGAGGUCUCAGACUCCUUUACAAAACAUUGAGAUCGGCCCAUUAGAUAUACAGCUAUAGGGACGGCUCACAUACAUAUUUGCAUAUCGUCAGCAUACAUCUGCACUUCACAAUUAGACCAGACAUUUGGAAGAUCAUUCACAUAUAUCGAAAACAGUAAUGUUCCAAGGAACGACCCUUGGGGGACACCGCGCUUAGUGAAUAGAAAGCCGGAGGUCUCAGACUCCUUUACAAAACAUUGAGA